GACGAGCGCUGGCGGCGUGCCUAACACAUGCAAGUCGAACGGAAAGGUCCUGCGUUUGCGCGGCGCACGUGUGGCGAGCGCGUGAGUAUCACGCGAGUAACAUGCACCUGUCUUAGGGGUAACAUUAGGAAACACGGGCUCUUAUCGCGUAGGAGAUCUUGCUCCACAGUGGGGGUUGGUAAGUUUCGGCGGUUGUGGAUGGACUCGCGGCUUAUCGGCUUGAUUGUCGGGUAGUGGCUUACCAAGGCUUCGACGGCUAGCCUGCCUGAGAGGGUGACCGGCGACAUGGGGACUGAGAGACGGCCCAGACUCCUACGGUAGGCAGCAGUGGGGAACAUUGCACAAUGGGCGGAAGCCAGAUGCAGCAGCGCCGCGUGCGGGAUGACGGCCUUCGGGUUGUAAACCGCUUUCGCCUGUGACGAAGCGUGAUUGACGGUAAUGGGUAAAGAAGCACCGGCUAACUACGUG
rnacentral:rRNA from 1 species